rnacentral:rRNA from 1 species
CUGCUGCCUCCCGUAGGAGUCUGGUCCGUGUCUCAGUACCAGUGUGGGGGACCUUCCUCUCAGAACCCCUAGACAUCGUCGCCUUGGUGGGCCGUUGCCCCGCCAACUAGCUAAUGUCACGCAUGCCCAUCCGUUGCCGGAAUCGCUCCCUUUGGCCGCAGGGCCAUGCAGCCCCGCGGCGUUACGCGGUAUUAGACGGGAUUUCUCCCGAUUAUCCCCCUGCAACGGGCAGGUCGCAUACGCGCUACUCA